rnacentral:rRNA from 1 species
AUGAAGGAGUUUUCCUACCAUGAGAUCGGGGCGGCGACCGGCGGCUUCGCGGCCAAGAACGUCGUCGGCAAGGGCAGCCACGGCUGCGUCUACAGGGCCAGGCUCAGGGGCGGCGCUGGCCACGGCAGGAGGCUCCUCACCGUCGCCGUCAAGAAGGCGUCGCACCCGCAGGGGGAGGCCAAGCUCGCCAACGAGAUCGCCGUGCUCACGGCCGCGUGCCACCACCCGGGCGUCGUGAGCCUCGUCGGCGCGGUAGCAGCGGGGCGGUCGCCGCUUCUCGUCAUGGAGUUCAUGCCCAACGGCUCGCUGCACGACCUGCUGCACCGGUCCCCGAGGCCGCCGCCGUGGCCGCGCCGCGUGGAGAUCGCGCUCGACGUGGCGCGGGCCAUGCGCGCGCUGCACGGCGCCGCGCCCCGCGUCAUACACCGGGACGUCAAGACGGCCAACGUCCUGCUCGGCCGCGACGGCCGCGCCCGCCUCGCCGACUUCAGCCUCGCGGUCAGGGUCGCGGCCGCGGGCGCGCCGAGGCCGGCGCCGGCGGGCACGAUGGGGUACCUGGACCCGAGCUACACGGAGCCGGGCCGGCUGGGGCCCGAGAGCGACGUGUUCAGCUUCGGCGUGGUGCUCCUUGAGCUCAUCAGCGGGCGCAAGGUGAUGGACGUGAACGCCUCCCCGUCGUCCAUCGUCGCGUGGGCGCUGCCGCUGAUCGGCGCCGGGCUGGCGCGCCAGGUGUUCGACGGGAGGGUGGCCGCUCCCCGUCCCGGCACCGACGCCGAGGCCGCGAUCGCCAGGUCCUGUCCGUGGCAGCGCGGUGCGUGUCGGAGAGCGUGGAGCGCCGGCCAGCGAUGGCGGAGGUGGCCGGAGCUGCGCGGCGCCCUGGAGAGCGGCAGGUGGCACCGCCGCGGGAGGGACGUGGUGGAAAGGGUGUGCAGGCGCGUCGUGUCAUGGGGGAUACAAGUGCGCGUGAAGACGACGCGGCGGAGCAAGGUCGAGUGCACCGAGCUGUCGGGGUCGUCGGAGGGGGGCGUGAUAGAUUGA